UUUAGGAAAGCCCUCCUUCCCUGAGACAAAGGAGCUGUUGCCAUAAAGAAGCUGUGUGAACCUCGGUGGCGGCACAGCCAGGCGGGGAAGCCGGGCUCCGGGAGACUGGUCCAGCUCUCAGCUGUAAGAGCUGCAUCUGUCAACCCCGGGGGGAAGCGAUACCCAGAGUCUAAUGUGAUGUGCCUGCAGCAUCUUCACUGGAAUUACGGAUGGGGAGGAGACGGAAGAGUGCAUGUGCUUCUGUGGCCCACCACCCUGGACACUGCCAACUGACUCCGAUCACAAUUCAAGACAGUCCUUUCUAACCUGUGAGACCAGCUGAUGGCCAAGUGAAGGACAACAUGACAACAGAACUCUCCAAGACUGUGGAAAGAGUGAUGAUCAUCUUCUUCCUUUUACAAAAGGAAAACCUCGAUCAAGGACAGUCAACGGCUUGCCCAAAGUCGUGAUCCGGGAAGCAGUGGGCUGCUUGACUUCUGCC